UACGAAGGGGGCUAGCGUUGCUCGGAAUCACUGGGCGUAAAGCGCACGUAGGCGGCUUUCUAAGUCAGGGGUGAAAUCCUGGAGCUCAACUCCAGAACUGCCUUUGAUACUGGAGAGCUAGAGUCCGGAAGAGGUGAGUGGAACUGCGAGUGUAGAGGUGAAAUUCGUAGAUAUUCGCAAGAACACCAAUGGCGAAGGCAGCUCGCUGGGACGGUACUGACGCUGAGACGCGAAAGCGUGGGGAGCAAACAGG
rnacentral:rRNA from 1 species